rfam:Geobacter sulfurreducens PCA, complete genome.
CUCCGAAAAGAGUAAACCCAUCGCAAGGUGGGGACACAAAGCCGACGGGUGCCGCUGGAGCGGGACGGCCGGGUUGCCGGA